ensembl:snoRNA SNORA74 Small nucleolar RNA SNORA74
UCCAGCGGCUGUCAGCUCUCCAGGCUAGUGUGAUGCCUGUGAUGGGGUUACGCUGUUGGAAGAGCAAGCACUGUCUUUGUGGAGGUUUGUCUACAGCACUGUUUUGGUGUGACAGCCAAGAACCUUUGGGAAGUGUUUUGUACCUCUGAGAGUGAAAUAAUUCCUCCUGUGGAGUUUGUCCUAGUCUGGGUGCAAACAAU